AAACCGGAUUUUCUAAAAUCCACCCAAAACUCAAAGAUUGCGAAUGU
rfam:Thalassiosira oceanica strain CCMP1005 To_g09953, whole genome shotgun sequence.